UGUCAGCUUAUUUAUACUUUUUCAAAACCUAUCCAUUGCCUCACACGUGUUCUGCCACGUGGAGCCAAGUUAGAAACGUGUCACUCUGUAGUUAGAGAAAAACUCAUCGUUCCCGUUCAAGGGAUGUUAGCUAUUUUAAAGGCAUUUGACGGGUUCUGCCGUCAUUCCUGCGAAGCCAUAAAUUAAUAGAAAAUUAGGGUCAUAUUAUCCGCAACCGCAAACUAAUCAUUUGAAUAAUAAUUCAGAAUGAUAAGGUGAUCAACUAGAUACGUCUAUAACCUCAAAAAUUCCGCAUUUGAUGCGACCUAUGAUUUGCCAAAUAAACCUAAAUCGUUCUCUUGGACUACACAAAUACAUACCUGACAGCUAACUUUUUUUUUAUUAUUUUUAUUUUUUGAUAUGGGAGAGGGUGGUUUCGAACUCCAUCAUCCAUUUUGGAGGUCGGGGGUUAUGCCAAAGCCACGAUGUGAUUUAUUUGAGUCUGUCACUUUGGUCCCAACAACAGCAUGUCCAAAUUUACCCCCCUAGUGCUUGUCAUUUCUAGACGACACUGCUCAAUUAUUAAUACAAUUACAUAAUCACAGUGCAUUAUGCCACAUUAUGCCCUUUGUUGGCUCAUUGUCCCAUGGCUCUGAGCAUCGAGAGAUAUUUCACCUACAGCUUGUAAAUUUAGGAAUCAUGCAUUCGGCUUUCAUGGAAAGUUAUCUAUUGGUCAGUAAUGCAGAUGUGCCAGAUCAUACAAAACUGAUAUCUUGGUCAGUUAAAGAAAAGUUGGUCAUUUAUUUUUUCCCAAUUUUUAUCCAAGAGGCCCACUUCUUUCCACUUCUUUGGUCAUUAUCAUCGUGUUAUGGCACGUACAUGAGGAAAGGAAAGAAGGAGAAGCUCAAGCUGCUGAAGGGGGCUGGACACUUGUCAUAUAUAUAUCAUAAAGGAAGGAAAAAGACAACGGAUGCUGAAAGUGGCACUACUGUAGCCUUUAUAGCCCUGGCUGCUGUGGAGGAUAAGAUGGCCAAGAAGAAACAUGAAGAAGUUGGCUUAAAUUUCUACUGCUUCCAAAGAAGAGAAGCCCAGAGGAAUGGGAUGAUGAAAUCCUAUAUGGAAAGUUUACUUUCUUUUUUUUUUUCUUGAAAACUACUUUUUCCAUAUAUACUAAAGCAUAUCAUCAAAAAUCUCAAUAAACAACUUAAGAGCGCUGGCAUCAGAUUCUCUAUAUGUUGACACCCAUAAGUUUCUGAUGUUGAAGGAGCAUUUUUCUCUAUCAUCUACAGUUAAUUUCUUUCACCCAAAGAUCAUGAUGUUGCAGAGCAAGUUUGAGCAGGAUAAAAAGCGGAUACAACAAUUGAGAGCUUGUAGGAAGUUUCGACCUCGCUAAAUAUUACACAAUGGAAAGAAUGGCUAGCAGUUGAAUCACCAGAAUCUUACUGAAUGUCUAUUUUGUAGUCCCUUAUUUCUGGUAGUGAAUUUACUGGAGAAAUCGACGAGUGUAACGAGUUAUUGAUGAGCAUACAGUUACAGAUAUUCUUUUACACGCCAGAAUGUAAUCCCGAUCGGAUUUUGCAGUUUUGAGUUUUAGGGGGGUUCUUUGACAGCAAGGUCGGUUACUAAUGCGAAAUUUGGUCUGGAUUUUACUGGAGUUAACCUGGUUGUGUGGCAGUUAUAGUUUCCUCGAACUAGUUUAUAUUACCAUUUAUUUUUCAAAGAAAAGAGAAUACCCUCACUAGAAAUUUACAUUCCUGACUAGAAUGGUGGGUUAUUAAUCCUGUUCUUCUGGAGACAUUGAUUGGUCCUCGCCUCUCGUUUCAUGCUGUGCAAUAUUGCUGUUACAAAAGUCAAACACGUUCUAUAAAAGAAAAAAAAUUUGCCA